rnacentral:rRNA from 1 species
CCUAUGGGUGGCAGCAGUGGGGAAUAUUUCACAAUGGGGGAAACCCUGCUGCAGCGACGCCGCGUGAAGGAAGAAGUAUUUCGGUAUGUAAACUUCUAUCAGCAGGGAAGAACAUGACGGUACCUGACUAAGAAGCCCCGGCUAACUACGUGCCAGCAGCAGCGGUAAUACGUAGGGGGCAAGCGUUAUCCGGAUUUACUGGGUGUAAGGGGAGCGAAGGCGGUUUAGCAAGUCAGAAGUGAAAGCCCGGGGCUCAACUCCGGGACUGCUUUUGAAAAUUUUGAAAUAGAUUGCAGGAGAGGUAAGUGGAAUGCCUAGUGUAGCGGUGAAAUGCGUAGAUAUUAGGAGGAACACCAGUGGCGAAGGCGGCUUACUGGACUGUAAAUGACGCUGAGGCUCGAAAGCGUGGGGAGCAAACAGGAUUAGAUACCCGAGUAGUC